AGGAUGAACGCUAGCGACAGGCUUAACACAUGCAAGUCGAGGGGCAGCGGGGAGUGAGGCUUGCCUUACUCUGCCGGCGACCGGCGCACGGGUGAGUAACACGUAUGCAACCUACCCUUUACAGCGGGAUAACCGGAAGAAAUUUCGCCUAAUACCGCAUAUACUCCUUGGGAGGCAUCUUCCGAGGGGGAAAGAAUUUCGGUGAAGGAUGGGCAUGCGUCGCAUUAGUUAGUUGGCGGUGUAACGGACCACCAAGACGACGAUGCGUAGGGGUUCUGAGAGGAAGGUCCCCCACACUGGUACUGAGACACGGACCAGACUCCUACGGGAGGCAGCAGUGAGGAAUAUUGGUCAAUGGCCGAGAGGCUGAACCAGCCAAGUCGCGUGAGGGAAGAAUGUCCUAUGGAUUGUAAACCUCUUUUGUCAGGGAGCAAAGUCACCCACGUGUGGGUGUUGGAGAGUACCUGAAGAAAAAGCAUCGGCUAACUCCGUGCCAGCAGCCGCGGUAAUACGGAGGAUGCGAGCGUUAUCCGGAUUUAUUGGGUUUAAAGGGUGCGUAGGCGGGUUAUCAAGUCAGCGGUAAAAUCGUGGAGCUCAACUCCAUCCAGCCGUUGAAACUGAUGAUCUUGAGUGGGCGAGAAGUAUGCGGAAUGCGUGGUGUAGCGGUGAAAUGCAUAGAUAUCACGCAGAACUCCGAUUGCGAAGGCAGCAUACCGGCGCCCGACUGACGCUGAAGCACGAAAGCGUGGGUAUCGAACAGGAUUAGAUACCCUGGUAGUCCACGCAGUAAACGAUGAAUACUAAUUGUGUGCUCCGAAUGAGGAGUGCGUGAUACAGCGAAAGCGUUAAGUAUUCCACCUGGGGAGUACGCCGGCAACGGUGAAACUCAAAGGAAUUGACGGGGGCCCGCACAAGCGGAGGAACAUGUGGUUUAAUUCGAUGAUACGCGAGGAACCUUACCCGGGCUCAAACGCAGGAGGGAUGUUUUUGAAAGGAGGCAGCUCUACGGAGUCUCCUGCGAGGUGCUGCAUGGUUGUCGUCAGCUCGUGCCGUGAGGUGUCGGCUUAAGUGCCAUAACGAGCGCAACCCCUACCGCCAGUUGCCAACGGGUAAAGCCGGGAACUCUGGCGGGACUGCCGGCGCAAGCUGUGAGGAAGGCGGGGAUGACGUCAAAUCAGCACGGCCCUUACGUCCGGGGCGACACACGUGUUACAAUGGCAGGUACAGCGGGAAGCCACUUGGCGACAAGGCGCGGAACCCGAAAACCUGUCUCAGUUCGGAUUGGAGUCUGCAACCCGACUCCAUGAAGCUGGAUUCGAUAGUAAUCGCGCAUCAGCCACGGCGCGGUGAAUAC
rnacentral:rRNA from 1 species